GUGAUUGUAUUUUAGGGAUAGUAUUGAGAGCCUAUUGUAUUGGUGAAUUAUAUCGAGAUGCCCCAACUAUCUUAAAAAGAGUGACCGACUCUAAAUUCUAGGUAGAAAUAAGAUUUGUCAUUUGCUAAGGGGCUGUUUGGCUAGUGGAAUUAAAGGGUGUCAGGAGGGAAUGGCUUUCAAGAACCCACGGAUUAUCGCAAGGUGGCGUUUGGGACUCACAUUAGAAAUGGGUUUCAAGACCUUCUUGGAAUCGUCGCCUAAGCAAUGGAUUUCUCAUAUCCAGCCUUGGGUUUCGUGUGGUGCUAAGUCACCUCUGCAGAAGAGCAGAAGCUCUUCAUACGGAGUAGACCAAAUUCCAUGGGAUUUGGAGGUUUUCCAUCAUCUCACAGCCGCAGCUACUAUGGCUGUCUGAGCAUAUACCGACGGAGAUCUCGUUUGAAUUCUUGGAGCGGACCUACCGCUGCGUCUGGUAGGUCGCUGGUAGCUUGAAGAUGGCGGUAGGAUGCUCGUUGCCCUGCGUGUAGCCCGUUACCGAAGGUGUUUCAAGUGAUUCAGAUUGAAGAGAAGGCCUCAUCUUAGUAGUUCUUAGUGCUGAUUCAUCACCACAACAGUCUUGAUUGUUGUUGUCCUAAGUUACUCGCGGAGAAAAAGAUGCGUGGUCUAGACUACGCGAUGAGAUCGCCGAACAAAUGUCAGAUGUCGAAAAUGUGAACUAGUCCUGGUGCGACACCUACACAAUCGCCCGAUAAAACUCCAACUCUUCCGAUGCAAUGUUCGCCUUGUGCAAAAUCCGCCAAAUCACUUGUUGAGCCAUCUUACCGAGCACAGAAAAUAAAGUGGACCAAUGUGAUGGAUCAAGUUAUGUUGAACACGUUGCUAGAGCAGAUUGCGCUAGGACGCAAAGCAGACAAUGGGUUUAAGAGGGAAGCAUACCAAGUUAUAGUUGAGGAGGUGUCAAAAGAAACUCAUGUGUACGUGAAUUGGUCAAAUGUGUAGAACCGUAUGAAGUAUCAUAAGAAAUGCUAUAAUGAUAUGAAAGAUAUGCUCGCUGUUAGCGGCUUCAAAUGGGACAACGACCGAAUGGUUGUAACAGCACUGAACGAAGUUUGGGAAGCCUAUAUCAAAUCUCAUUCACGAACUAAAAGACUCCGACGAAUGCAAAUCGAGAGGAUGGAUGAUUUAGUUGUUAUCGUCGAUGAUGAUCAAGCGAUUGGUCGUUACGUACAAGACAAUAGGAAUUUGGCUGCAUCCUCAUCACGUGUUCACCUAGAUUUAAAUGAAACAUGGUCAAAAGAGAAUGAGGAUAUGGAAGAUAGCGUGGAUCUGUCCGCUGACAAUUUAGGGGACUCGGCAAGGAAAUCGUGAUUUUCUACUGACAGUCAGUCCCAAGAAAAUCAUUCGGGUCAAAGUACACCCAAACGUACAUCUAAUUCUAAGAAUAAACAUGGCGAGAGUACUACGACGAAGCGGAUGUGUCCUGGUCGUCCUUACGAGUACUCGGCAAGUCUCUAACUAAUAUUGCCCAGGCCAUGCAUGAUUUUGGUCUUGGAAAGGAAGUGAACCGUACCAGUAAAGUGUUGGAUAUCCUUGAAGAGGUGCAGGGGUUGACCAACUCUGAGUUCAUCAACGUUGGCCAGCUCCUGUCCAAGAACAAACAACUUGUUUCCUUCUUUGUUAGUCUCCAUGACGAAUGCUGCGUGGAAUGGUUGAAACAAAUUCUCCGUAGUUCUCAGAAAAAUGUUGGUGGUGCAGAUCCAUGAUAAGCCAUGUUUUAUAUAUGUUACAAACUUAGUAGACGUUUGUGCUAGUGUCUUAUACUCAUGAUAGAUGGGAAAAGGAAAGAAAUAUUAUGUUGUAGUGGUCGGCUGCCGACCGGUAUUUAUUUAUCUUGGGAAGAGACAAGGCUGCUGGUUGAAGGAUACAGAGGAUGUGAUCAUCACUCUUUCAAAUCGUUGGAAGAGGUGAGUGAAUGGUGGAAUUAUAAAUAAAGCACUGGUGUUACAGAGUUUGUGGGCGAAGGGACUGAAGUGCAAAACAAUCUUGCGUGUAGAACUUCAUCUUCAAAUGAGGUAAUCAAUAUAACCCAACCAUGCUUGGUGGGCCAACGUACAAUCCUAAGCCUGUCUUCUACAGCUACGUUCACGGAGGGGAACCCCAUGAAUGGGCAACAACGUAUUACACUGACUUCGGUAUUGAUUGGGAUAUGUGUUGUUUUUUUUACUUUGUAUGUUAUUAUUAAGUUUUAGAUCAAGUCAUUAUAUUAUAGAUGAAUUGAUGAUUGCCACAAUGCUAAACCAAACAAGCCAAGUAUAUAAUUUAGUAUAUGAAUUUUGUCUUGGAUCUUUAUUCUAAUGGCACAUUUGGUAUGUUAUGAUUUUCCCAUCAGUUGGGAGACUAGGCUGACAUAGUUACAUUCAGUUCCAUUUUCAUAGUCUUAAAGUUUUGUAAGACAUAAUAUUUGAUAUGACCAUACGAAUUAUGAGAAUAUGGAUAGUUUGAUGCCAUUGGUGAUAUGGGUGAGUAAAUGACAAUCUUUUACAUAUACUAAUAUGAAACUACAACAGCUUCUUAAUACAACAUACUUAUCUUUUGGAGUAAUACUUCUUAUGGCAUAGAUAUUUGAUGCGACAUAGACCUCCACGUCACAGCCGUUUCCUAUAUACCUAUUCUGAUUCAACAGUUUGUGGGAGGAGCUAUUGCAGUACCCCUUCUAGGGGAUUUGACCAUCCAGUCUAGAAUACCCACCAUGUCUACGGGAAUCGGUACUGUUGGAUUUCACCCCUGUACGCGAUACAAGUUCAUCGAUGUUGGCUGAGCAUGAUAUCUUCUCACAAUGUUGAAUGCACACGUACUUUUGGAAUGUAAUCAUUCAGUUUCAUUAAUGAUCUAGUGGCGAAAUAAGUAAA